rnacentral:rRNA from 1 species
GCGUUAUUCGGAAUUACUGGGCGUAAAGCGUGCGCAGGCGGUGAUGCAAGACAGUUGUGCAAUCCCCGGGCUCAACCUGGGAAUUGCAUCUGUGACUGCAUCGCUAGAGUACGGUAGAGGGGGAUGGAAUUCCGCGUGUAGCAGUGAAAUGCGUAGAUAUGCGGAGGAACACCGAUGGCGAAGGCAAUCCCCUGGACCUGUACUGACGCUCAUGCACGAAAGCGUG